CUACGGGCCGCUCCAGUGGGGAAUAUUGCACAAUGGGCGAAAGCCUGAUGCAGCAACGCCGCGUGAGCGAUGAAGGCCUUCGGGUCGUAAAGCUCUGUCCUCAAGGAAGAAUUUUGACGGUACUUGAGGAGGAAGCCCCGGCUAACUACGUGCCAGCAGCCGCGGUAAUACGUAGGGGGCUAGCGUUAUCCGGAAUUACUGGGCGUAAAGGGUGCGUAGGUGGUCUGACAAGUCAGAGGUGAAAGGCUACGGCUCAACCGUAGUAAGCCUUUGAAACUGUCGGACUUGAGUGCAGGAGAGGAAAGUGGAAUUCCCAGUGUAGCGGUGAAAUGCGUAGAUAUUGGGAGGAACAUCAGUGGCGAAGGCGACUUUCUGGACUGUAACUGACACUGAGGCACGAAAGCGUGGGGAGCAAACAGGAUUAGAUACCCGCGUAGUC
rnacentral:rRNA from 1 species